GAUGAAGAACGUAGCGAAAUGCGGUAAGUAGUGUGAAUUGCAGAAUUCAGUGAAUCAUCGAAUCUUUGAACGCACAUUGCGCCCUUUGGUAUUCCUUAGGGCAUGCCUGUUCGAGCGUCAUUUAAACCUUCAAGCUAAGCUUGGUGUUGGGUGACUGUCCGCUUCACGGCGGACUCGCCUCAAAAUUAUUGGCGGCCGGUACAUUGGCUUCGAGCGCAGCAGAAACGCGAACUCGGGCCCGUCGUAUUGGCUCCCAGAAGCUAUCUUCACAAUUUUGACCUCGGAUCAGGUAGGGAUACCCGCUGAACUUAUGCAUAUCAAUAAGCGGAGGA
rnacentral:misc_RNA from 1 species